UAAAGACACGUGUGUCAAUCGGAAUAAUACUGCCACCAAUUCAUGAACGUAUUUUACUCGACACGAUCAUCAAUCUGCAUGUUGGUGGCCUGAUUUUUUGUAGUAGCCGAAGAAUGCAUGACAAUGGAUUUCGACUGGAUUAAGUGUUCGUCGCUGUCGGCUCCCUUCGGCUCUAUGGAGCAAAGAAGAUUAGCGAGAAUAGACGGAUCAAGAUAAGAUCAGCUAUGAUGAAAUAGCUGCCAAGUGUUGUCAUUUGUAGAUAAUCCUACAGGACAGCACAAGUGUUACAAGAUAGAUAGUUGAAAUUUAAGCUUACUUUUAUUUUUUCGUAGGAUCGCACCGCCGCAACUAACUUUUUUUGAAGAACAACUUUUAUAUUGUAAGCCAAGAAAAAGAAGAAAAUCGACUACUGUGGACAACCUGAGGUACAAAUGAGAGGCUAGGAUUUUAAGAUAUGGACAUAGUUUUCAUAUGAAAGCAGAGAGUCAGUGAUGGAUCGAGACGUUCAAAUGACUGCAGACUGAAAAACCCGAGUGAAAGAUCAGAAAGAAACGUGAAAACACCCAGAAAGCUAGCGAUGACCUCAAUUGUUUCUCGGCCCCUAAACUUCCCACAUUAUUAUUAUUUCGUAAACUACUAUCAAAAAAUCGAUUUAAGGCUAACAAUAAAAAGAGUUGAGAAAUCAUGGAAAUGAGAUCAAAUUAGUAAGUCGUUCAGUUCAACUGAACAGUGUUGAAAGUAUAGCACACCUUGGGAGAAAUGGAAAAGCGUGUUGUUUUUAUUAUUUUUACACCGUAUGACCGACAUAAGUUUCGCGUGUUGGCCCUGCCGCUUUAAUUUUCACAACACGGCGGUUCCAUUCUAUAAUAAUCGUUUAUUCUGAAAGCGAAACCUGUUCCUUUUACAUUAUUGUAAGUACCAUUAAAAUUAAG